UACGGAGGGUGCAAGCGUUAUCCGGAUUCACUGGGUUUAAAGGGUGCGUAGGUGGGUCUGUAAGUCAGUGGUGAAAUCUCCGGGCUUAACCCGGAAACUGCCAUUGAUACUAUAGGUCUUGAAUUUUCUGGAGGUCAGCGGAAUAUGUCAUGUAGCGGUGAAAUGCUUAGAUAUGACAUAGAACACCAAUUGCGAAGGCAGCUGGCUACAGGACCAUUGACACUGAGGCACGAAAGCGUGGGGAUCAAACAGG
rnacentral:rRNA from 1 species